UACGAAGGGGGCUAGCGUUAUUCGGAUUCACUGGGCGUAAAGAGCGCGCAGGCGGUCGUUCAAGUCGCGUGUGAAAGCCCCCGGCUCAACUGGGGAGGGUCACGCGAUACUGAUCGACUCGAAGGCAGGAGAGGGAAGUGGAAUUCCCGGUGUAGUGGUGAAAUGCGUAGAUAUCGGGAGGAACACCAGUGGCGAAGGCGACUUCCUGGCCUGUUCUUGACGCUGAGGCGCGAAAGCUAGGGGAGCAAACGGG
rnacentral:rRNA from 1 species